rnacentral:rRNA from 1 species
GUGAGGAAUAUUGGUCAAUGGCCGGAAGGCUGAACCAGCCAUCCCGCGUGCAGGAUGACGGCCCUAUGGGUUGUAAACUGCUUUUGUACCUGAAGAAACCUGUUUACGAGUAGACAGUUGCCGGUAAGGUAUGAAUAAGCAUCGGCUAACUCCGUGCCAGCAGCCGCGGUAAUACGGAGGAUGCAAGCGUUAUCCGGAUUCAUUGGGUUUAAAGGGUGCGCAGGUGGGAAAAUAAGUCAGUGGUGAAAUACUGCCGCUUAACGGUAGAAUUGCCAUUGAUACUGUUUUUCUUGAGUAUGGUUGAGGUAGGUGGAAUGUGUUGUGUAGCGGUGAAAUGCAUAGAUAUGACACAGAACGCCGAUUGCGAAGGCAGCUUACUAAGCCAUUACUGACGCUGAGGCACGAAAGCGUGGGGAUCAAACAGGAUUAGAUACCCGGGUAGUCC